rnacentral:rRNA from 1 species
GUACACUCCUGCGGGAGGCAGCAGUGGGGAAUAUUGGACAAUGGGCGCAAGCCUGAUCCAGCCAUGCCGCGUGAGUGAUGAAGGCCCUAGGGUUGUAAAGCUCUUUCACCGGUGAAGAUAAUGACGGUAACCGGAGAAGAAGCCCCGGCUAACUUCGUGCCAGCAGCCGCGGUAAUACGAAGGGGGCUAGCGUUGUUCGGAUUUACUGGGCGUAAAGCGCACGUAGGCGGACUAUUAAGUCAGGGGUGAAAUCCCGGGGCUCAACCCCGGAACUGCCUUUGAUACUGGUAGUCUUGAGUUCGAGAGAGGUGAGUGGAAUUCCGAGUGUAGAGGUGAAAUUCGUAGAUAUUCGGAGGAACACCAGUGGCGAAGGCGGCUCACUGGCUCGAUACUGACGCUGAGGUGCGAAAGCGUGGGGAGCAAACAGGAUUAGAAACCCUUGUAGUCCC